GGUGGGUCUGACGUUAUAUUUUUUUUUCUUGCGUGGCAGUGGAAAUACAAGAGUUGUUCAAACGAUUAUUUAGCAGCAUCAAGUGCUUUUAUGUCUUCCUUUUAGAGUCCAGUAGAGUUACAAUUUUAGAAAUUUAAUUUUUAACGUUCUUUUAUUGUAGAUUCACUAUUAAAUUGUUAUUUACAUGAAUGUCCGGCUUUGUGUGUGUCUACUUGAAAGUAAAGCCUACUAAAUUCAAUGGCUUUUAUUUCCAGCUUGUGAAUACAGCAGGGGGCACCACUGACAUAUAAAUUACUCAGAAUGGAAGUGCUUUGGCUGGCAUCCUUCUACUUGAAGGCGGAACCAUUGAAACCAGUUAUCUCUCGGCGAUUUGCAUAUUUAUGGGGCCUCCUGCAGUUUUCCGUGAUUGCUUUACAGUCAGGAAAGUCAUCUUGCAGGCAAGAAGCACUUAGGAAGAAAAUCUGUUCUUCAAGAACCUUGGAAUUUGGGAGGAUUACUUGAAGAAAAAUGUGAUUUGCAACUGCUACUAAAAAAAGGUCUGUUGGACACUGGAAAAACAACAAAAUCCUGAAUAUUGUAAUACCUGUGAUGAAAUGUAUGAUCCAGUCAUAGUUUAAGAUUAUUGUAGAACUGAAGGGGGAGAUAAAAUCUGAUGAAAAAGAUUAUGAGGAAAAGUUACAUUAGAUUGGGCAACCCAUAGAACUCUAGACAUUAAAGAACUACAGCUUCUAAUGUCA